rnacentral:lncRNA from 1 species
AUCCCUUUUAAUCUGGGCUGGCUUUGUGACUGGUUUUAACAAAUAGGCUGAAGCAAAAGUGAUUUGGGGUGAGUUCCAGAGGUCUUGUGAUUUUUGCCUUGACCUUUUUGGAAUGCUUCUGACUUCAUGUAAAGGAGCCUGCACUGGCCUACUGGAAGCCUUUUGGAGAGAAAGAUACAACCAACAGUCAUUACCAACCAGGACGAGCUGACAUUGACAGACUACAAAUGUACAAUGAGCCCAAUCAGCACCACUUGGAGCAGAAGAACUGCCUAGGCCUCCAGGUGUCUGCAUUCUGAUCCUUGAAGAGUUCAUGGACCUAAGUUAAGAACCUCUCCUCAAGAGACUGAAUGCAGGCAGAGAUGGCUUAUUGGUUCAUCACAGGUUAUGUGAACUACCCACUAUUAAAAAACGAAGUCACAUGGAAGAUAAAUAACAUGCUCAACAUCACCCAGCCAGAAGUGGUGGAGACAUGGCCAACAUCACAGGGGACAACUCCUGAGCCUGUGCUAGGAACAGCCAGUCUUCCUGAAUUCAUGAUAAAGUAAACAUAAGAAAGGAAAACUUUUGUACGGUGAACUUGGGCUAAAAAGAAGAAUGAUGUCUCUGGAACUUUUGCUGCUUAUAGGAAUGAGAGCAAAAUCCUGGCAUGACCAUGAUCCUUCAAUGAGCACCACUGUGUUGCUGCAUUCUGUCUGGCCAAUCUAGUCUAUAAUAGUUUUUUGUUUUGUUUUGAUUUUUGUGUGUUUUUUUGUUUGUUUGUUUGUUUUGAUGGAGUUUUGCUCUUAUUGCCCAGGCUGGAGUGCAAUGGCAUGAUCUCAGCUCACUGCAACCUCCUCAUCCCAGGUUCAAGCGAUUCUCCUGCCUCAGACUCCUAAAUACCUAGGAUUACAGGCACCUGCCACCAUACCCAGCUAAUUUUUGUAUUUUUGAUAGAGAUGGGGUUUCACCAUGUUGGCCAGGCUUGUCUGGAACUCCUGACCUCAGGUGAUCCACCUGCCUCGGCCUCCCAAAGUGCUG